rnacentral:tRNA from 1 species
UCCUCAUAGCUCAGUCGGUAAAGAAUCUGCCUGGAAUGCAGGAGACCCAGGUUUGAUUCCUGGGUUGGGAA